CAACCUCCAAUAAGGAGGACCGUGACGUUACCCUCCGGUCACAUGCACGGCCAACCAGUCGCUUCCCUUUCCUUUCCUUUCCCUUUCCUCUUUUCACUUCCAUUUCCCCCUUCUCCAUAUUCCACAUGCUCUUUCAUUUCCUCUCACUCCUUUCCCCUUCACCUCCGGCAGAAACCCAUUCACAACCACAAUCGCCCAAAUCUGCCUAAUUGAUGGAUAGCAAGGGUGCGCACAACACUUCCCGCCCCCAUCUCGGCGGCGGAGGAGGCGGCGGCGGUGGCGGCCGAGAAGAUUGCUGGAGCGAAGGCGCCACCGAGGCUCUAAUCGAGGCCUGGGGAGACCGAUACCUCAUGGUGAACCGAGGUAACCUCCGUCAGACGGACUGGAAGCACGUCGCCGACGCCGUCAACGCCCGUCACAACGGCGUCAAGCCCCGAUGGACGGACGUCCAGUGCAAGAACCGCGUCGACACCGUCAAGAAGAAGUACAAGGCCGAGAAGGCCAAGACCCUGCCGUCAAAGUGGCCGUUCUAUCACCGUCUCGAUCACCUCCUCGGAAACGCCGUUCCGACCAGUAACAAGAAAAAUCAAAAGCCCCACACCGUUACUCUCACCGUUAAAUCUAGGUCAAAACAAAACCCUAACCCUAACCCUAACACCAUGGUCGUCUAUUCCGGUGGCUUGUCCAGGCGGAACUCGAGUGGCUCUGAUGAGAGCUCUCUUGGUGGUGGAAGAGACGAGGAUGUGAGGAAGAAUAGGAUGGACUCUGUGGAUUUUUCGGAGGACACCGCGUAUAAGGAAUUGGCGAGAGCAAUUCUUAGGUUUGGGGAGAUAUAUGAGAGGACUGAGAGCUCGAAGCAGCAGCAGAUGAUGGAGUUGGAGAAGCAGAGGAUGGAGUUCAUUAAGGAUCUUGAAUUGCAGAGGAUGAAUAUGUUUAUGGAAUCUCAACUUGAGCUCGAGAAAAUGAAGUUUCCAACAAAGUAUGCACCUGGUUCAGGCCAUAAAAACUUGAACUGAAUAUUAACGUGUCGACGGAUAUUUGCUUCGGAUAUUUGGAGAGACAUUUUUCUCUUGCUGCAACUGGAGAUGCCUACUUUCACCUCUCUCCGUCAGGGAAGAAGUUAUAGCUUGGCAUGAAUGCUCUCCUUGAGAAGGGACGGACAACUAGAAAUUUCUGGGAACCGUCACAAGACCUCACUCCGAAUGAGUAUAUUCAUCCUCCCUGGCAUGAUACGCUAUCUAUAGAUUCAAGUUUGAAGCAUCUAAUAUUUAAAAGAGGAUAUGGCUGUAUUAUAUCCAUGGCUGUCAUGUUUGUUGUAUAUUAUUAUUACUUAUUUUGCUACAGAUUUCUUGUACUUCAAAAAUUUAUCUAAGUGUAUUAUUAAAUCAGUGUA